CCUACGGGAGGCAGCAGUCGGGAAUUUUGGGCAAUGGGCGCAAGCCUGACCCAGCAACGCCGCGUGAAGGAUGAAAUCCUUUGGGAUGUAAACUUCGCAAGAACGGGAAGAGUAAGUAGGGGUUAAUAUCCCCUAUGAUGACGGUACUGUUUGUAAGCUCCGGCUAACUCCGUGCCAGCAGCCGCGGUAAU
rnacentral:rRNA from 1 species